UUAUAUUUGCAGGGCGACUGAGCCGCUGAGCGAGGAAGAGUUAAAGCAGGCGCGGGAGGGGUCGCCGCCGGCGAACUCCAAGGUCUUCUGCGUGUGCCCGGAAGGGUGGUCGUGUGUGGUUUCCAAGACUGCCGGCAAGAUUCAGUUCGAGUGCGGCGAAGGUUGUGCCUGUGUCGGCGGAGAAAACGACACCGUCAAAAUUGCUUCUGUCUAAUAUUAUAUUAUUGCUUAGCAAUCUUUAAGGUGUGUUUGCUUUUUCCGGUGGGUUAGUAUCUCUUUCCUGCCAUUAUUAUGUACCUACGAAUAAUAAGAUGAGCUCUCAGCCUAGUUGUUAGUUCAUAGUUGUCUCAAACUAAGACAAUUAUAUUGCUCGGAGACAACUAUCCAACUAACUUAAUUGAGAUUGCUCUAUUAUCUAUGUAUUAUGUCAUAUAUGCUAGUUUAUUUGUGUGUA